rnacentral:tRNA from 1 species
AAGUUUUUAGUUUAAUAUUAUAUAAAACGUCAUAUUUGCAUUGUGAAGAUUAGUCUUUUUUAAAAACUUA